CCCCAUGCAUAGAAUAACCUCUGAACCCCAAAAAGUAUACAUAUCAUUGCAAAAUUGUCUGUUGUGCAAUAUAGACAACCAAAUCUGCUUUGGUGCACGCUUCCACGCAUACACUACUCCCCCCUCCAAGCCUCACCCUUGGUGCCCAUAGCCUACUGACUGACCCUAGUGAUGAGUCAUUAUUCUCUUCGAGUAGUCUAAUGACCGUACAACACAACCAUCAUAAACGUUGUUUUUGCCCCCAUGUACAUCCAAUGGUUGAUACAUAUGGAGACAUGUGCCCUUAGGGACAAUUUUUCAGCAUCUCCAGGACAAAAAAAAAUACUGUAACAUAGCACCAAUGAGACCGAACAUGAUGGCCACAAUGUGUCUUGAGGUGAUAUUUCACUUUCAAUUUUAAUAAUAACAUAAGUGGUAAUUUUGAUAUAAAUUUAAAAUGUCACUUACAUUUGCAUAAAGAUUAUCCACACAUGCUAUUAUGAAGCGUAUAAAAAUUGCAUUAGAAAAGUGAAAUAUCACCUCAGACAUUUUAAGUUUAUAUAUAGUUAUCAUAUAUCAUGCUAUUUUAUGUUAUUUCUAGUAGAGGUGGACAUCUUUUUCUUUUUUUGAGUUUAUACAGUUUGUCUUUUUUUUUCUAGCACGUAUGGAAAUUGCUUUAGAAGGCUCCAAUAAGUAAUCUAUACCUAAUAAUAAAUUGUGAAAAAUUCAGUCCACCAUAUCUUUAUAUGUUCACUAGGCCUUUCAUCGAUGUCCGAGGUGAUAUUUCACUUUCAAUUUUAAUAAUAACAUAAGUGGUAAUUUUGAUAUAAAUUUAAAAUGUCACUUACAUUUGCAUAAAGAUUAUCCACACAUGCUAUUAUGAAGCGUAUAAAAAUUGCAUUAGAAAAGUGAAAUAUCACCUCAGACAUUUUAAGUUUAUAUAUAGUUAUCAUAUAUCAUGCUAUUUUAUGUUAUUUCUAGUAGAGGUGGACAUCUUUUUCUUUUUUUGAGUUUAUACAGUUUGUCUUUUUUUUUUCUAGCACGUAUGGAAAUUGCUUUAGAAGGCUCCAAUAAGUAAUCUAUACCUAAUAAUAAAUUGUGAAAAAUUCAGUCCACCAUAUCUUUAUAUGUUCACUAGGCCUUUCAUCGGUGUCCGUAUAAAUAUAUGACUAUAUAGGACUAUGUUCAUCUUGUUCGGAUCUGGUUUCCUAUUAUUUUUUAACUUAUUUUUUGUUUAUGGUACAAGAACUCCUGGUCCAAUAAGGAUAGGGGGGAAAAGGAAAGUUAUGUGCUAAAUCUAACUCGGAAGCCUAACACGAGUUUAAAUCAGUUUUAAAACGAAACAAGCGAAUAGCUAGACUCAACCAAAAUCCAAAACAGAGCUCGACCAAAAUUAUCUUUAUUCUUAUAAGAAAAUAUAUAGUUACUUCAAAGAAAAAAAAAUUCACGGACACUAGGGGGGAGAAGGGAGCGACUCUUUUAGACCCAAGGUACGCAACAUCUAUGAGCCGGAGAGAAAAAAUAAAGUAAAGAAGAAAAUAAAAAUAAAGAUCCAAUCCAAACUCAAGUAAUCAUGCUGAACUCGGACAGAACACUGGUGAUUGGCAAAAAUAAAUAAAUAAAAUAAAGACGAAAACAAAAAAGAUCCAAUCCAAACUCAGGCAAUCAUGGUGAACUCGGACAGAACACUGGUGAUUGGCCGCAUGAAAAAAAUUGGGUGCCAAAAAUUUUGGCUUUUUAGUAUUAGGAGGAAUAGAUUACGAAUCUAGAGUUCAGUUCCUGAUCCAAUACCUUCCUGAUCCAAUACGUUUUGGAAUCGAACUCUAUAUCAUACUAGACAAAACUAUUCUAACUUGUCAGAGUAUGAGUAUGGGCUAUAUAUACAAGUCUAGAUAUAAUAAACUCUUCAUUAUCCAGUAGCUAAAGAGAGACGGACCAAAAAACUGGAUAGACGAAAAAAAAGAACUUGAAAUUUUGCUUCUUUAUUAUUAGGUAUAGAUAGAAGAAGAAGAAGAAAAAGGAACUACAGAUUGGAACUUUUAUUUUUCUUUUGCCUCCGAUUGACAUCUAACUAAAUAAAGAAAGUGGGAGCAAAAUAAGAACAUAAUUCUUAUCCUUUUCUAUUUAACUAUUAAGAGUUCUUUUUAGAAUACUUAGGAUGUGAGGAAUCUAUUUAUAUUCUUACUCCUACUCCAUAUUAGUUUAGAUGCAAGUUAUUCUAAGUCAUACGAGCACGGGUUAUAUAUAUAAGUCUAGAUAAAAGAAACUCUCUAUCGUUCGGUAGCUAGAGGAAGACAGACAAAAAUGGAUGGACAAAAAAAA
rnacentral:lncRNA from 1 species